rnacentral:siRNA from 1 species
AAGGAAAUAAAUGAGGCGACGUGA